AAAAAAUGACACAAACUUUACAAAAGUUGUCCAUCUGAACUUCAAAAGCCAUGUACUACAUGAUUUAUUUCUUCCUAAUCUAAGCUCUACACUUAGGAGAUUGUUGUGACCCCAGCCAUGAAAGUCUUCACCCGCCGACACACAAGAAAACAUGGGUUAAUCCUUAAUUGCAUUAAACCUGCACAAAAAUGAAGUCAGGAACAAUAGCUGGUUGUAAGUACAGGUUCUAAUAGUGAGAAUUCUGGCAAGAUAAAAUCUGAAACAUGAAAAUUAGUGAGGGUUUCCUCAGUUGGGCAUCAAAAAGGGCAUUCAAAAUCAACAAAAUGAAUAACAAGAGUUGCGUAGCAAAUAAUAUACUGCUGACUUGUACCAUAAAUCCCAGGUAUUAACUUGUUCAUACGCAAGUACUGACAGUCAUAUGGAAACUUUCUUUUUACUUGGAAAACAUGAAAAAUGUUUAUAAUCACACUGCUCGUUUGUCUAUUUCCAAUCUUGCUGCACCGGCUGAGGAUAAACUUUUACCCUUACGAUUUACCUAUUCAGCUCAUGCUUCACUUGCAAUACAAGCACCACAUUAUUAGAGUAUACCUCUGGAAAGUAUGGUCCUGAAUAUAUGUUGACACAACGAGAAUUAUCGUAUUGUUGGCAGGGUGUGCUGUUUUUUUUAUCUAAUGAAGCAAUUGAUCCAUCUGCGACAAACACACUAGUGUCAAUGUUAGUGUAGAGUGGAGGCGUUGAUGAUAAGAACAAUAUGAUUAAACUAGAUUUUAGCAACUGAUGGACCUAAACUGAGUAACACUGAACGCCGAAACUGAAAAAAAUUGAGCAGGCUGGCAUUACCUGUGUUCUGCCUGCUAGCACUAAGCUCGAGGAAAUGGCUGUUGUAGCACUGGUUUCUUCAUAUAAAAGUACUAACUAUCACGUGGAAACAUUUAUAAACAUGAGCCGAGGCCUGCUGGAGCCUUGAUAUCUUCAUAUAAAAGUACCAACUGUCUAUUUUCCAGUCUUAUAGUUGCAACUGAGGAUAAUUUUUGUAGCCCUUCUAACUGCAGAUUACAGGGACCUCAGAAUUUAUGAGAUUUUGCAAACGGAUUAUAAGGAAUGCCGACAUUCUACCACUGAUGGAUUACUACAUUGUAUAUACGAACUGAAAACACCAGUUUCAGGGAAAUGAUGAACUACAUAAUAAAAUCAAGAAGAUGAACUUGCAAUGCAUUCAGCAAGUUAAGUUGGACACUGCAAAGUGCACUUUCUACUUAAUAUUUUUUACUAAUAAACGAUCAAAACAGGGAGUCAAACCUUGUGCUUGACAUACAGAUUGUACAAACAUAUUUCCCCUCGUCUAUUUUUCCAAUCGCCUACAAUUACUGGUAAAAUUAUCCAUUAGAACUGCAUGUGGCACAUUGAUUCGGUGCUCAUACUAUUCAAUUUACCAAAUGCCACUGCAUUCAAACGAAUCAGUGAACCGAAGGAUUGGGAACUUGGAUAACAGAAGAACCAAAAUUAGUGAUCAUACCGUGGAUCCUUUAUCAGUAAAAAGAGGAUGGUUGGCUCCUAAUCAGCCGCAACAUCGAUAUCCCCGAAGCUACAGCGCCGCGUCGCUAGGUGGACGCAAUCGCGGCGAGCCGCCAGUGGACCACCUGAGUUGGAUUCUGGGCACUGAUGCGUCAACGCCGGAAGCCGGACAGAGAGAGAUAAAUUGGACGGGGGGAGGGCGCAUCUGGUGUAACGAGGGACCAACACAGAGAGAGAGCUCGCCUAGAUUUUGCUUAGCCCUAGCUCCAGGCUUGGUACAGAACACAGGAAGGGGAGGAAGACGAUCUGGAUUUGUGGAGGUCAAUUCGCUGGAUUUAGCUGUACUGCAAGGACUGUUUUGCAAAUAUACCAGGAGCCCAAUCAUCGAACCGAAUCCUGUCCCUCUCUUACGAAUCCAA
rnacentral:lncRNA from 1 species